UAGCGUGGAAUAGAUGUUACCAGCAUCGUAGCGGCGUUUGAUUUGCACAGUAGUGACAAACGUGGUGUGGGGUUACAUAACAGGCAAGAAAGAAGCGUACC